UCCAAUCACUGAUUGUCGCCUGCCUCGGAUCAGUAAGCCUAUCAGUUCAGUGUCCCACCUCCUUCCACCUCGUCACUUCCCCAUAAGACGCUUUCAUUCCUCUCAUAAAAACUAAAUGUGCAGUGGGACAAAUCUGACAUAGUAAACGUGACCAUCAGGAUGGCCUUUUCUCACCCUGACUAGCGUGGGUCCGAGUGUGAGCGAGUGCUUCCUCCAGAGCCAAGGGAAGAAGUCGGCUUGGGAUCCAUCCUGCAGUUCCCCGGGGGGCCUGGAGCCAGCUUCAAAGGCCAGUGAAACCCAGGAAGCAUUGCAAGUUAGCUACAAAUCCCGGUGCCCUUGGGACAGGCGGCCCCUCUUUCGGCUACCUGCUGCCCUAGCCCUGAGCUGCACCUGCGGACUGCAGCCCUGGCUCACUGCACACACAUCCUCGGAGGUCCUGCUAUAUCCAGCUUCUGCUGCCAGCAGAUGCCUCAUGUGUCCAGCCGGCAAAGGGGAAGACAUCCUGAGCACACUGAAGACCUUGGCAGGCAGCUGUGAGGGCCAGGCUCAGCAGCAUGAGCUAGACCAGCUCACCCCUGCCCUGGGCGGGAAAGUGGAAUGCACGGCAGCGGCAGCGGAGACCUGCAAGCCAGCAAGGGCACGCACCUCGAGUGUCUGCCCUCCAAGGGACAGGGCAACAAGUCUCCCCUGAUCAACCAUCAGGGGGUGGAAGAUGCGUGUGGCACACACAACACAUAGCUCAUUUAUUUAUUAAUUAGGCAAAGCCACAUGGAUGAGAAUGAACUUGAGAGUGAAGGAAGCAAUUGGCACAAAACCACAUGCAUCGUUGUACCUUUGAUUAAAAAGGAAAUAGAAACCAAGUUGUAUAUGGCUUAGAAAUAUUCACCCUGUGAGUAAACUGUAUGAGAAAAGCAGUAGAGUGUAUGAGAAAAAUCUUAGGGUACCCUUGGGCUUUGGGCAGGCAGGACACAGGACUCAGAAGGGAGGUGAAGGGGCAGCAGGCUAGAGCACCCCAGGGGGAGCUGGUGGCCUCCCGUGCCCAUUUCACACUGUGCUUCAUCACAACAGGGUGUUACAGGAUACGGUAGGCACCACCCA
rnacentral:lncRNA from 1 species